UGAGGAAUAUUGGUCAAUGGACGCAAGUCUGAACCAGCCAUGCCGCGUGCAGGAAGACGGCUCUAUGAGUUGUAAACUGCUUUUGUACGAGGGUAAACGCAGAUACGCGUAUCUGUCUGAAAGUAUCGUACGAAUAAGGAUCGGCUAACUCCGUGCCAGCAGCCGCGGUAAUACGGAGGAUUCAAGCGUUAUCCGGAUUUAUUGGGUUUAAAGGGUGCGUAGGCGGUCGGAUAAGUUAGAGGUGAAAUCCCGGGGCUCAACUUCGGAAUUGCCUCUGAUACUGUUCGGCUAGAGAGUAGUUGCGGUAGGCGGAAUGUAUGGUGUAGCGGUGAAAUGCUUAGAGAUCAUACAGAACACCGAUUGCGAAGGCAGCUUACCAAGCUACUUCUGACGUUGAGGCACGAAAGCGUGGGGAGCAAACAGG
rnacentral:rRNA from 2 species